rnacentral:rRNA from 1 species
GACGAACGCUGGCGGCGUGCUUAACACAUGCAAGUCGAACGGAAAGGCCCUGCUUUUGUGGGGUGCUCGAGUGGCGAACGGGUGAGUAACACGUGAGUAACCUGCCCUUGACUUUGGGAUAACUUCAGGAAACUGGGGCUAAUACCGGAUAGGAGCUCCUGCUGCAUGGUGGGGGUUGGAAAGUUUAGGCGGUUGGGGAUGGACUCGCGGCUUAUCAGCUUGUUGGUGGGGUAGUGGCUUACCAAGGCAUUGACGGGUAGCCGGCCUGAGAGGGUGACCGGCCACAUUGGGACUGAGAGACGGACCAGACUGCUACGGGAGGCAGCAGUGGGGAAUAUGGCACAGUGGGCGGAAGCCGGAUGCAGCAACGCCGCGUGCGGGAUGACGGCCUUCGGGUAGUAAACCGCUUUCGCCUGUGACGAAGCGUGAGUGACGGUAAUGGAUAAAGAAGCACCGGCUAACUACGUG